rnacentral:lncRNA from 1 species
GGGAAUUUGAAUUGGAAUUUACUUCCAGCUGCACUCAUGCAAGAAUUUGUGAUGUAUACUAAAAAAUAAAAAAAGGCUCAUUCAGGAGAGCCUUGUACUCAGCAAGAGUGGCUAACAUUAGAGCAUACAGACUAUGUGAUUGUAUAAGGCAUGGAGAGUUAAACAACCUCCAGUCAGCUGCCUGUUUGAAUACCACUGACUUGUUAAGAAUGAUCUUGCUUUUAGAUUUUACCAUAUUCAAACUUAUUAGGUGAGCCUUAUAUAGCAUAUAUACCUGGCUGCUAUUGUGGGGUUUGGGAACAUGAGGGGUGGGGUGAACUGUUGUUGUUUUAGGUUUCAGUCAGACAGACAUCCCUGUGCCUCAGUUCCCAGAAGCACAGCAGGCCUCUAGGAGCAUCCGUGGGAACGGCGCAGUCCUGACAUCACCAACUCUCCUGCUCAGGCUCAUCCCAUAUACAGAGGUCAAAGGGUGGGGUUUGAGAUCGGGGGAAGGAAUGAGAAAGUAGAAGCAAUGUCACUUCAGUGCCACUGUUGACUAGUCUUUGGUGCUUAUGUCAGUAUUUGUUUUAUUUCCUGAUUUUUUUAAAGUUGGCAAAACUACAUAUUUUUAUCUUGAUGAAGGCAGUGGGAGGGUGGAACAAAAACAAGCCAUUACUGCUAUUUCUAGUUCAUUUACUGGAGACUGUCCCUUAAUAGCUAAUGUAGAAUAAAUUUGAAACAUAGACCUAGAUGACAAAAAGAAUGGGAAUAGAAAUGAAUCUCAGGAUUUGAACAAACAGAAGACGUUUAUGCUGUGUUGAUGCCCAGUUCUACAACUGCUAUUACAUUUGUCAUUCUGUCUCCCCUUUUCCCCUAAUUCUUUUAUGUAUGUAUGUAUACAGUUUGAGGAAAUGUGCAUCUAUGGUCAGUCCUUUUUAAAAGACUUAAUGAAUUUAUUACUCUUUUGCAAAAAAUAUACCCACUGCUUAUAUGGGCAUACAAAUGCUACCCUAUUUUAAAUGUAGGUGGCGUAUGUGUUCGUGUUUUAAUGUAUUCAGAGCCAUUGGGCAAUAAGCAGUCCAGAACAUUGAAAACUCAAGCAGGUAAAGCACCUAACACCCUUAGUUUCUAGAAUUACUUUAAAAAACUUUUAUAUUGCUGCAUCUUCCACAGUUCUUUGGGUAGUCUCUGAACUUAAAAUUUGUAGGAGUUGUAGACUACCUAAAUUUUUAAGUUAUGGUAUUUGUUCAUAGGUUGUAGGGGUAGGUAAAGAAGGAAACAGACAAGAAAAUGGCUUCUUGAGGUGGCAGCUGCUGAGUGGCUAAAUCUUACCACUUUCUUUCUACUUUUUUUGGAAAUUUUCCCAGCUUAGCAUGAACAUGGAUCAUACAGUGUUUGAUUUUAUGUGAUUGAGAUUUUUGUUUUUUAUUUUUGGAGGGAAGGUCUUGGAGAAACAUUAAAAAGUUGGUGUAUGUGCAAAAAUACGAAAUGUUAAACAAAGGAAUUUUUUCUUAUUUAAUCUGAAUGGUAAGCAAGAACUUUUUCUAUAUACCCUUCUGCUGCAGCAGACAACUAAACUGGUAGGUGGCAGCAGAGGAAGGAAUUCUUCAGAUUGAUGGCUACUGACUUAAAGUCUGCAUAGGAGAAGAGAUAGAGCAUGACAUACCAAGUGAAGCAAGGGGGACAAAAAUGGAAACAGGACUAAGAUUCCUGCAUUUUGACUCUAAAUGGUUCUUUUGAAGUAACCAGUGAUCUUUUUUGCUUACCCUCAUCAACAGAAUGGAUGAAGAUAGAUUUGACUGUGUGCUUUUUCAAGUGGAGAAUAUGAAUAUACAGAACAAGAAAGCAAUAACUCCAACCUGUUUGAUUCCGUCUGUUUUCUAAAUAAAGACACUAUGCGCUGGAAAUAACAUA